UCAGGUUGCAUGCUAUUUUAUUGAAGAAGAAAUAAAGGAGGAGAGUUCUAAAUCAUUCUCGUGGAUACCUGUAGAGAUCGAAUACUUGUGUGGCUCUAAAAAGAACCGAAGAGAUAUCCAUGAUCAUCAAAUUAUGGUGAAUACCUACCCGCGUAAAGGUGAAGAUGAGAUCUUCAUAAUUUUGCUUUGCUAAAUUUUUUUUUGCUACAUAUAGUCUUAAGAAUAUGAUAGAGAUGAUCUCAUGAAAUGAGAUCUAUAAGAUGCAUGCUAGAUAAAUUUACUUUUGCUGCAUGUAUAAAAUUUUUGUUGUUCUAGCAUGC
rnacentral:lncRNA from 1 species